rnacentral:rRNA from 1 species
UACGUAGGGUCCGAGCGUUAAUCGGAAUUACUGGGCGUAAAGCGUGCGCAGGCGGUUCGCAAAGACAGGUGUGAAAUCCCCGGGCUUAACCUGGGAACUGCGCUUGUAACUAGCGGGCUAGAGUGCGGCAGAGGGGGGUGGAAUACCUGGUGGAGAAGUGAAAUUCGUAGAGAUCAGGUGGAACACCGGAGGCGAAGGCGCCUGCCUGGCAGUGUAUUGACGCUGAGGUGCGAAAGUGCGGGGGAGCAAACAGG